rnacentral:rRNA from 1 species
GACGAACGCUGGCGGCGUGCUUAACACAUGCAAGUCGAACGGAAAGGCCCUGCUUUUGUGGGGUGCUCGAGUGGCGAACGGGGGAGUAACACGUGAGUAACCUGCCCUUGACUUUGGGAUAACUUCAGGAAACUGGGGCUAAUACCGGAUAGGAGCUCCUGCUGCAUGGUGGGGGUUGGAAAGUUUCGGCGGUUGGGGAUGGACUCGCGGCUUAUCAGCUUGUUGGUGGGGUAGUGGCUUACCAAGGCUUUGACGGGUAGCCGGCCUGAGAGGGUGACCGGCCACAUUGGGACUGGAAUAAGGCACAGCCUCCUACGGGAGGCAGCAGUGGGGAAUAGUGCACAAUGGGCGGAAGCCUGAUGCAGCCACGCCGCGUGCGGGAUGACGGCCUUCGGGUUGUAUACCGCUUUCGCCUGUGACGAAGCGUGAGUGACGGUAAUGGGUAAAGAAGCACCGGCUAACUACGUG